rnacentral:rRNA from 1 species
GAUGAACGCUGGCGGCGUGCCUAAUACAUGCAAGUCGAGCGAACAGACGAGGAGCUUGCUCCUCUGACGUUAGCGGCGGACGGGUGAGUAACACGUGGAUAACCUACCUAUAAGACUGGGAUAACUUCGGGAAACCGGAGCUAAUACCGGAUAAUAUAUUGAACCGCAUGGUUCAAUAGUGAAAGACGGUUUUGCUGUCACUUAUAGAUGGAUCCGCGCCGCAUUAGCUAGUUGGUAAGGUAACGGCUUACCAGGGCAACGAUGCGUAGCCGACCUGAGAGGGUGAUCGGCCACACUGGAACUGGGACACGGUCCAGACUCCUACGGGAGGCAGCAGUAGGGAAUCGUCCGCAAUGGGCGAAAGCCUGACGGAGCAACGCCGCGUGAGUGAUGAAGGUCUUCGGAUCGUAAAACUCUGUUAUUAGGGAAGAACAAAUGUGUAAGUAACUAUGCACGUCUUGACGGUACCUAAUCAGAAAGCCACGGCUAACUACGUG